UUACGGCCACAUCAUGUUAAAACACCGGUUCUUGUCCGAUCACCAAAGUUAAGCAUCAUCGAGCUUCGCCAUUACCUAGGUGGGUGAUCUCCUUGGAAUAACAAGUGCUGAA